rnacentral:lncRNA from 1 species
GAAACCUUUUAGGCUGAAGGGGAAGCAUUCUGAAAUAGGACAAGGGGCACCUCGUGUUGAAACCUGGAGCUGGUCAACCCUCUGAGGCCAAUGCCGACCUUUGCAUCUGCCUCCCACGCCCUGCUUGUUUUAGCUGGACCAGGAGAAACUAAUGUCAAGACAAAAAAAAAAAAAACCUGAAAUCCAUAACAUUUUGAUAGGUAGCUUUAUGAACAGUUACAAAUCAGAUGUUUGCCCCCCAAAUUUUAACUUUAUUCUCUGAAACAGAUCUAAAAUUCCUAUCUACCUCACAGUUUCACAGAUAACCCAGUCUCUUCCAGUUUAUAACUGCCUCUUUGGGCCUAUUUCUUUUAAUGCUGUUUGAGACCUGUUAAUGGUUGUAGCCUGGUCAGAAAAAGGACUCCUGGAUCCUCCUGGAAGCUUCGUGAUUUGUUACUGCUAAUUCACGUUUACCCACAAUGAGCAUCCAUACAUGGGUUCUGAAGAUUAAAGUCAUCCUUGAGAAGGGAGAGUGGAAUGCCAAAACUUUUCUUGGAUUCCAGAGCUCUGGUUCAUGUCUGCAACAUGGAUGCAAUGAUAUAACCUUAUUUUAUGUAUCAUCCAUUCACCUGUUGAUCAAAGACUGUAUUCAAGAUGGCAGGCACGGUGAAGUCAAUGAUAACUCUAGUUUAUUGAGAAACUACUCGGCAUCAUACAUUAUCUUAAUUA